rnacentral:rRNA from 1 species
CCUGGCUCACGAUGGACGCUAGCUACAGGCUUAACACAUGCAAGUCGAGGGGCAGCAUGGUCUUAGCUUGCUAAGGCCAGAUCGGCGCACCGGUCGCACGCGGUGAUGUAACACUGUAUCCAACCUGCCGUCUACUCUUGGACAGCCUUCUGAAAGGAAGAUUAAUACAAGAUGGCAUCAUGAGUCCGCAUGUUCACAUGAUUAAAGGUAUUCCGGUAGACGAUGGGGAUGCGUUCCAUUAGAUAGUAGGCGGGGUAACGGCCCACCUAGUCUUCGAUGGAUAGGGGUUCUGAGAGGAAGGUCCCCCACAUUGGAACUGAGACACGGUCCAAACUCCUACGGGAGGCAGCAGUGAGGAAUAUUGGUCAAUGGGCGAGAGCCUGAACCAGCCAAGUAGCGUGAAGGAUGACUGCCCUAUGGGUUGUAAACUUCUUUUAUAAAGGAAUAAAGUCGGGUAUGGAUACCCGUUUGCAUGUACUUUAUGAAUAAGGAUCGGCUAACUCCGUGCCAGCAGCCGCGGUAAUACGGAGGAUCCGAGCGUUAUCCGGAUUUAUUGGGUUUAAAGGGAGCGUAGAUGGAUGUUUAAGUCAGUUGUGAAACUUUGCGGCUCAACCGUAAAAUUGCAGUUGAUACUGGAUAUCUUGAGUGCAGCUGAGGCAGGCGGAAUUCGUGGUGUAGCGGUGAAAUGCUUAGAUAUCACGAAGAACUCCGAUUGCGAAGGCAGCCUGCUAAGCUGCAACUGACAUUGAGGCUCGAAAGUGUGGGUAUCAAACAGGAUUAGAUACCCUGGUAGUCCACACGGUAAACGAUGAAUACUCGCUGUUUGCGAUAUACUGCAAGCGGCCAAGCGAAAGCGUUAAGUAUUCCACCUGGGGAGUACGCCGGCAACGGUGAAACUCAAAGGAAUUGACGGGGGCCCGCACAAGCGGAGGAACAUGUGGUUUAAUUCGAUGAUACGCGAGGAACCUUACCCGGGCUUAAAUUGCAGAUGAAUUACGGUGAAAGCCGUAAGCCGCAAGGCAUCUGUGAAGGUGCUGCAUGGUUGUCGUCAGCUCGUGCCGUGAGGUGUCGGCUUAAGUGCCAUAACGAGCGCAACCCUUGUUGUCAGUUACUAACAGGUUCCGCUGAGGACUCUGACAAGACUGCCAUCGUAAGAUGUGAGGAAGGUGGGGAUGACGUCAAAUCAGCACGGCCCUUACGUCCGGGGCUACACACGUGUUACAAUGGGGGGUACAGAGGGCCGCUACCACGCGAGUGGAUGCCAAUCCCCAAAACCUCUCUCAGUUCGGACUGGAGUCUGCAACCCGACUCCACGAAGCUGGAUUCGCUAGUAAUCGCGCAUCAGCCACGGCGCGGUGAAUACGUUCCCGGGCCUUGUACACACCGCC